CUGCCCUUCGGCCUCGGACCGUCGGAACGUCGUGCAACGGGACUGCUGCUGGAUCCUGGUGAACUGUCCUUCCCAAAGAGUACUCUGCCAUUGCAGUGAACUGGACUGAACAUCCUGAGAGAAACCUAGCAAGACUUUCUGCUGUGGAACACAGGAUUGAUACAUGCAACACUCAUCCCUCUCCUGCUACUCGAGGAAAUCCAAGGAUGUUAUCAUGUUGCACAUCAUAUCCAUCCUUGGAUCUAUUCAAGAUGUGAGCAAUUUGGUCUGCUCCCAUUGCUGACCAACUUUCAGGAGGUUGGAAAACAAAGCUCCUUAGCUAUCUUUCACUUUGAGUUAUGCCAUGAACUUCCGAAUUUUUAGGUAUGCUUUUUCAAAAUCAUUUUUCUACUUACUACAUUGCAUAACACUGCUUUGUGGUGUUGGUUGUUGUCAUUUUGUUUGUUUAUAUAUGUAUAUAACCACUGUAAUGUUUCCCACAGUGAUCAGGGAUAUAAGGAUUUCUGAUGAUAGAUGCUUCUGAGAAGCACUGUGUAGGUACUGCAAAAUUGUAAGAGCUUGUACAAUGUUUCUCUGUACUAAAAUCUGUAUAAUUUUAAAAUGAAAAUACAGCUGACAAUUUGGAGAGUAGAAUUUAAUAGGUUAACUUUUCUUUCUUUUCAGUUCAACAAGAUUGUUGCAUAAAAGCAUUCAGUAAACCCCUUGCUGUCUUUCGCUCAAUAUAUUUCCAUUUACUUUUAGGAUUAAAAAAGUGUUUUGUCUUCCCCUAUGCUGUUCAUGCUGCUGAAAAAUAGAAAAACAGACACACCUGUAUUACUGAAUUAACUAGGUCAGAAGGUUUGAUUCACAAACCACGUAAUGUGAAGCAAUCUUUCUGUCAUAUUAUUUAUUCUGAAAUAGAGAAUUUGAAAGUCUGGACCAUGAACUGGGCUUUGUACAUUUAACCCUGAUGUUCAUAAUCCUGCUUUUCGCUGCAGUAUUGUAACAAUUCUCUCAGCAUAGGAGAGAUUCUGUCACAUUUACCAACAACAGUGCAACCGUACCUGGGAAAAAUCAGAGCUCCAAAUGAGAUGGCAGAAUCUGACCCAAGAAAAAUUAAAUGUUUUACCGUAAAUUCAUGAAGACAUUACAAAAAUUGUGGGCGCCUCAAGUGAGCAAACUUUUUCUGCGCAGCUUCAAAGGAACUGUAAAAGUAAUAGCUACCAGAUUUUCUCCAGCCCCCUCAGGAGCACAGUUUCCACAGUAAAGAUAAUGCAGUCUCUAGCUAUAUUACCCAGCUACUUGCUGAGGUAGCAUUUAUCCAAACAGGUCCAUAACUUAUAGCCAUUCCCCUCUGUCAUCCAUCUUUAAGCUAUACGUUACCUGCUGCAAAUCAGCUCCCUACCACCAAGACGCACUGCUUUCCCUUCAGCACAGAAGGUGAUGCUACACAUUGAGAAACUGUGUUUUCUGUGACAGCCAGAUACUGUUGUUCUGGAAGAAGCCCACAGAACAUAGUUACUGUUUAAUUAGCACAGCUGCUUUUAGCUUCGCAUGAGGUGUUUCCAUGAACUACUGUCUUCUGUCUAUCUGCAUUUGUAUUUUUAGCACUUCAGUGAUUUAUUUAGUACCACUCCAAAAUGUUGGAGUUCUGGUGGUGCACUAACAGGGGGAACACAACUAUUGGGACAACUUGUAAAAAGCAGACAAGACGGCUUCAUGUUGGCAUUAAGGAUCUUCUGGAUUAGCUCCACUGGAAGAGCUUAAAGUUAUGUAGGUUGUUCCAAAAGUAAUGCCAUCUAUUCCCUGGAAACUACAACGGAUACAAGGAAAACAAUAACAGUAUUUGAUAGAGCAGAUUCUCAGCUACAAAACUCGUUUUCAACAUAGUCACAACCAUUAGCUGUGCAUCUUUGGCAGCAAUGAACUCGAUCUAACAUGCCCUGCUUGUAACAAUCUGCACUGGUGGAGGUGACCAACUGUUGCUUUUGCCACUGCUGAAACACACCACUCACCCAUCACUGUGCUCACAUCCACGGUUUGGUCUCCACAGACAUUCAGCAAGUGUUGAUGAAUGCCAAUGUGUGACAUUUUUUUCUGCAUGGAGGAAUUCAGUACUACACCUUUGCUUCAUAUGCACUUCCAUGACAGACAACAUUCUGUCAGAUUGCCCCUUUGCUGCCAUCUGUCGUACGGCAAAUAAAUGCAAUGAGAUAUCAUCACGAAGGUUAAACCUCCGCUGCCAUACUACCAACAUCUACCUCUGAUGGUGUGGGUCAACAUCAUAAAAAAGGAGGCAUUACUUUUGGAGCAGCCUUCAUCUUUCUCCAGCACAGAAAUGCUGAAGGCAUCGAACAAAGGAAAUAGGCAUUGCCAUCCAUGUUUAUUAUUGUUCUCAGAUUAUUUUGCACAAAACAGACUAAUUAUGGAAGCUUAAAGAGUCAUUAAUGUUUACUUUUCCUUAGUGACAGGUUUCUUUAUGGAUUCUUACAGUAACAAUAUUUCAGAAUAUGGCAAAGUUCUGUAAACUUACAGAAAUAUUGCAAAAAUCAAAUGAAACUUUUCUUCUUUCCU